ACCUUCGUGGUGUAAUGGUCAGCACACUCGUCGUGUAUUCGAGAGGUCCGUGGUUCGAGUCCUGGUGAAAGAA
rnacentral:tRNA from 1 species